ACGGCAUGGGUCGGCCGGGCCGGGCACCUCUGCGAAGCGAAACCCUAACCACCAGCGAAGAGACCUUCCCCACGCCGCCACCUCCCGUCUCAACAGUGAUCACUGAUGGGAAAUCCCCUCCUAUACACCCAUGGAAUCUGAGCACCAACAAACAAUCUUUUCUCGGAUUCCUCUGAUCGAAGCAUGAAGAUGCACCGCGCAUGCAAAAUCUGUGGAGAAAUAGGACACACCGAUAAGGAACACCAAGAUGGAUGCCCCUAUUGUGAAGCGAGUCACUUGGGUGAAGAAUGUCCCACUACGCGAGUCACCUGUUUCAUGUGUGAAGGGACUAACCACAAUCCAGCCCAGUGUCGUCUACUCACCACGACACAAGAAGUGGUUCAGCAACAGAGGAAAGGAAUGAAGAAGGCUGUCCAGGAAAUCAUCAUGAAGAGAAGGGCUUUAGUUACUUGCCAUAAGUGUAGGAGCAAGGGGCACUACGCCAGCGUGUGUCCAGAAGUGAUAACAGAGAGAGAAAGAUGGGCGCGCUACUCCAGCCCGUGUCCAGAAAAGAAAAGAGGGAGAGGGAGAUGGGAAGCUUGGAGCAAACAAGCGCCAUGACUUGUCAGGAGUAAUUUGUUUGAUAUUUUCCUUUGUGUAAGAAUUCAUUCAGUAACUAUUCCAAGGGAGCUAAUGUUAGUUAUUGGAGGAUAGCUAUCUGAGGCAAGCAAUAAGGGUAUUAGGAGACCUUUUAGGUUAUCUUGGAGAUGCUGGGUUGAGACGUGCAAUGGCCAUGGACGAGAGACUUUACACUUCCUGUGUUGUGACGACUUUUUAGCGAUGUGAUUGCGAUUUCUUUUGUGA